UCGUCAAACACGGCUUGUUGCUGGCCCCCCAAACGGGGCAUGUGCACGCUCUGUUUACACAUCCACUCACACCUGUGCACCCUCCGUAGUUCUAUGGUUCGGAAGACCCCGUCUUCCUUCCGUGGCUCUACGUCUUUACACACACGCCGUAGCGACGUCUCAUGGNAAUGUUUUUAUGCGUUUAACGCGAUACAAUACAACUUUCAGCAACGGAAUCUCUUGGCUCUCGCAUCGAUGAAGAACGCAGCGAAAUGCGAUAAGUAAUGUGAAUUGCAGAAUUCAGUGAAUCAUCGAAUCUUUGAACGCACCUUGCGCCCCUUGGUUAUUCCUUGGAGCAUGCCUGUUUGAGUAUCAUGAACACCUCAACUCUCGUGGUCUUCCACGAUGAGCUUGGACUUUGGAGGUUUGCUGGCCCUGCGGCCGGCUCCUCUCAAACGAAUCAGCUUGCCAAUGUUUGGUGGCAUCACGGGUGUGAUAACUAUCUACGCUCGCGGUCGUCUGCCAGGUUACCCUCAGCGAUGAAGGUUCAUUGGGGCUCACAAACGUCUCUCCUCAGCGAAGACAACUUUUGAACGUCGAUCUCAAUAAGUAGGACUACCCCUGACUUAAG
rnacentral:rRNA from 1 species